GGUCAAGUGAAGAAGCGCAUACGGUGGAUGCCUUGGCAGUCAGAGGCGAUGAAAGACGUGGUAGCCUGCGAAAAGCUUCGGGGAGUCGGCAAACAGACUUUGAUCCGGAGAUCUCUGAAUGGGGGAACCCACCUAGGAUAACCUAGGUAUCUUGUACUGAAUCCAUAGGUGCAAGAGGCGAACCAGGGGAACUGAAACAUCUAAGUACCCUGAGGAAAAGAAAUCAACCGAGAUUCCCUUAGUAGUGGCGAGCGAACGGGGAUUAGCCCUUAAGCUUCAUUGAUUUUAGCGGAACGCUCUGGAAAGUGCGGCCAUAGUGGGUGAUAGCCCCGUACGCGAAAGGAUCUUUGAAGUGAAAUCGAGUAGGACGGAGCACGAGAAACUUUGUCUGAACAUGGGGGGACCAUCCUCCAAGGCUAAAUACUACUGACUGACCGAUAGUGAACCAGUACCGUGAGGGAAAGGCGAAAAGAACCCCGGAGAGGGGAGUGAAAUAGAACCUGAAACCGUAUGCGUACAAGCAGUGGGAGCCUACUUGUUAGGUGACUGCGUACCUUUUGUAUAAUGGGUCAGCGACUUAUAUUCAGUGGCAAGCUUAACCGUAUAGGGUAGGCGUAGCGAAAGCGAGUCUUAAUAGGGCGUUUAGUCGCUGGGUAUAGACCCGAAACCGGGCGAUCUAUCCAUGAGCAGGUUGAAGGUUAGGUAACACUGACUGGAGGACCGAACCCACUCCCGUUGAAAAGGUAGGGGAUGACUUGUGGAUCGGAGUGAAAGGCUAAUCAAGCUCGGAGAUAGCUGGUUCUCCUCGAAAGCUAUUUAGGUAGCGCCUCAUGUAUCACUCUGGGGGGUAGAG
rnacentral:rRNA from 1 species